UCUAAGCGGCUAAAUGCUUCUUUUGAGCUGCUUCCGUGUUGCGAGGCCCUAAGUGUUAGGGCCGUUGGCUUUGUUUGGAAACCAAUUGGCUGCGUGGACAUUUUGGGAAGAAAGGAAUGACAAAAUUCUAGGCCCGCAAUUCCCAAAGUGUGAUCCCGGGAGCAUCACUAGGAAUAUGUUAAAAAAGCAAAUUCUCUGGCCGUUUACCAGACCUACUGCAUUUGAAACUCCAGAAUGGGGCCCAGCAAUCUGAGUUUUACAGAGCCCUGCAGUUUCUAAAGGCAUUUGAUAAUUCCAGCUCUGGAUGAAUGAACAAGAGAACGCCUAACAGGAUGUCGUGUACUAGUUCUGUGUUGGCCUUCACCUCCUGGGACUCGCUCUCUGGCAGGGAUGUGGGCUCUGCUGAAGCAUCAUAGUCAUAGAGCAACAGUGAUGCAAAGUCGAGAGAGGAAAAGGAAGACCAUCUCCUAUCCUUUAAACAAUCUUCAUUUCUCUACUCAUGAAAUUAAUACACAGAAAUGGAAUUACACCUGGUAAAGCUCAUGAGAAGAGGCUUCGAGGAAAGGCUAAAAACUCCGGUUUUGGAAUUGGACCCCAGGUUGACCCACUCUUAGUUUUGUGUCUCUGAACCUCCUUUUCCUUCCUGUGAAUCUACUUCCCUGGUGAUCUGUGGGAAUUGAACAAAUGAUAUAUGUAAAAGUGCUUCAUGGUAGAGGCCAAAACGACUUCUGAAGUGUCCGUACACUUGAAGAGGAAGUCUCUGCAACCAAAACCAAAUUAGCCUAAGGAUAUAAGACUUCAGCCUGCUUGUAACAUUCCACCCAAACAGACGAAUUGCUCUUUUGUUCCAGCUUUUCUCCAGCCACACCAGCCCUAGUUUCAUCUGCCUGGAUUGCUCCCCCCUUGUUUUCAGAGAUCUCUCUCUCAGCUCACUCAUCAGACCAAGCAAUCUAAAUAAAGUAGCAGUGCCCAAGUCACCAUCCA